rnacentral:lncRNA from 1 species
UUUUUUAUAUUCUCAGUCUUGGGCUUCAUCCCAAGAAAUAAACAUGUGAAAACUAUUGGGGAUGGUUAUAAGUUCCUCCUAUUGAUAUAUCCUGUAUAAAUUAUGGAAAUUCUAUAAGUUCUUAUGCUAGACUGGGGAAUUUAUCCACCAUUAUUAUAUGGCUUGGCUGCUGUAGAAACUCAUGGAAACCUCACAUGCCAUAAUUGCCUGUGAGGGCAGAUGCUCCUUCUGUCUGCUUGCUGGCUCAGACAUGAACUGGAACCUGCUGCCUGCUGAAAGUGGAACUGGUGACUUAGUCUUUCAUAAUUUGUAUCUAUGUACUUUGGCAAAAAGUAAUCAGGCAGAGUUUUUAUUGUCAGUUGAUUACAUCAAUUAUGAAUUGUCCUAAAAAGCUACCUGCAAGAUGUAUUAUAAGCACAGAGAAACUUCAUUGAGCACUGUUAAAAUGAGACAAAAUUAGGAAGCCUGCAGCUUCCAAUGGAUCAGAAGGAUCUGGCCAAUGUGAUGAAUGCAACAAGGAGAGCCUGACUUUUGAAAACUAUGUGGUAGACAUGAAGACAAAGAGCCAUGGCAGAUGCCCAUCUCACAAAUGCUCAGUCGAAACACCUGCCUGGAUACCCAUUCAGCACUCUACCGAAACCAAAGAAGUUGAGUAUAUAACUUUAAAAAAUGUAUGUGUAUGUAGCAAACAGGUGAAGGGGAGCUCAACUGGAAAAGUAGGACUCUUCCUUAGAGACUGUAUUUUAAGAUGAGGAGGAGAUCAUACAAAAAUCUUCAGGCGGAACAAUCCCAACUCUCUCAGCAUGUCUUCAUAUGAGAGGUGCUGCAACCCUUUUUCCAUCUUCAUGGCCUCCUCUGGACCCAAUCCUAACAAGUCCACAUCCUUCCUGUGAUGAGGACCCCAAAGCUGGAUGGGUGGUGUCUCAUGAGAGGGGAGUAGAGAGGGAGAAUUCCCUCCCUUGACUUGCUGGUCACACUCCUUUUGAGGCAGCCCAGGGUAUAUCUGGUAUUUGCCCAUUUCUCUCUUUGUUUGCAUUUCAUUUGUUCACUAUUCAGCAUUUGAUAGGGAAACCAUACCACACAAAAUUCAGGAUUUUAUUCAUUGGCCACAGCCUCAGGAGCCAUCUCCUUUUUCCCUUCUAAAAGAAGGUAAUUUUUCUUCAUCUCUGCUAGCCUGGUUGCCAAGUGCAGCCCUCUUAUAAUUUCCUAUCAAUAAGGGAAGUAAUUGAAGGAUUUUUCAUUAAUAAGUAGGAUUUUCAGGAGAAGAAAAGUAGGGAUUGAAUCUCCUCAGGUUAGCAAAUUAAGAUGGGUACCCAGAUCCUUUGAAAGAUAAAAAUAGAGAUUUUCAAUCUGUAUCUUGCUUCAGGCAUUACAAGUGCAGAGAAAUGUCAAGACCAUGUCAGAGAGGCCUUUCAAUAUAGACUGUCGUUUCAGGAAGAAAAGACCAUUCUUUGCUGUCAUUAACUGGAUACAUUUUCCACCCUCAACUGGUUGUUUAUUACCAGAUUACAGGGAAGGGAUGUCAAUGUGGGCGUUAGGGCAUGUCUGUAUGCUUAUGUGUGUGCUGCUGUACAUUUGUAAGCUACUGGUGAAUCAGUGUUUGGCUGUAUUAGGACAGUGGCAUGCCCAGAAGCUUUAUAAGUGGUUUCUAAAAAAGAUUUGAAAUGCUAUUAGGUCCUCAGCCAGAAGUAAAUUCUAUAUAAUUUGUCUGAUACCACAGCAUGGGCUCCCUAUACCAGGAACUACUUAUGCAUUGUCCCUCUUUCUGGUGCGCUCCAGGUGGUGCCACAGUAGGAGUAUACUCUGUGAGUUUCACAGGGAGACUGUAUCCCACUUACAACCUAAUUUAAGAUUACUGAAAGAAAGAAGUUCCCAGUGCCCAAAUGGGAGGACAGAAUCACCUGGAAGAAAGCAAAAUAAUAGUUUCUGCAGAACACUGACAAAACAGGCUAUUUGAGGCAGCCAGGAGGAGGUAAUGGAGAAAAGAAAGGUCUGUGACCUGGCUGGGCGCAGAGAGCUCUGAGCUAGCACUGACCUGAGCAGAUAGUCCAGAUGGUGCAAAGGUGUGGGUCAGUGCUGCACAGAGACAACCAGCUUGGCUCUGGAAGCUGUUUCACAUUUUUUAUGUGGCAUCCUACCUGAGCUGCUUGUACAGGUCAAGGACUGAGCUAACUUCCUUGGAAAUGGCUUAGGUAUUUUCACAUUGCAUUUUACAGGUCAUAAAGGCAGAAGACUGAAAUUGUACUGAGUACAUCUCCGCUCACUCCUAAUACAUGUAAUAGAUGUAGCUGUGACCAAGAGCUGCUUGCAUUAAGUACCUCUCAGAUGAGGGAGGCUGUGGAGUGUCCCUCACUGGAGAUACUCAAAAACCAUCUGGAUUCAAUCCCAUGCCAUGUGCUCUAGGAAGGCUCUACUUAAGGAGGGAGUUUGAACCAGAUGACCCACUGUUAUCCCUUCCAACCUGACCCAUCCUGUGAUUUCAAAAGAUGAGAUUGUUGGCAUUUUUUUUUGUUGUUGUAUUUUAAGUAAGAAAUUACUUUAGGAUUUGGGAUUUCACUUUAAUGAUCAAUUUUGUUUCAUGUAGAUUUUGCAGAGUUCAGGUCUCAAAUAUCAUUCUGACAUUAAAAAAAUCAUUUGACAUUGUCCAUUCUUUCUUAAGGGCCAUAUGGCAGUUUGUAGGAAAAGAGGAAUGAAGUUAGGGGAAGUUAAAUGCAUAGUGUAGUUGUAAUCACAGGAAUCCUGUCAGCCGUAGUGUUAUGACCUUUGAUUAAUCUUUGUAGCAGAAAGAAAAUAAGUACUAAUGAGUUUGUUUAUUAGCAGUGGUUUAUACAAAUUUUUAUUGUUUUUAUGGUUGCAUUUAAUUCUUAGAAUGUUAAUUGUUAUGUGUGAUUAAUCCCCCUCAUGCAGAAAAGUUUUCACCAGCGGCUAUGUCUUUAAGACUUUGUCUUGAUUCACAUGUAAUUUAAGUUGACAAGAACACUAGCAGUGUAAAAGGGAAUAAAGAGCUUAGUUUCAGUGUCUAAUUGAGUUGUGGCUUCUGUGUGGCUGAUGCAGGACUGACUGGGUGUACUUUGAUGGUAAUAUUAAAUCUCACCACUACCUGAGUGAGGAUUGAAGUAAUUAGCAGGGCUUAGUGCCAGAAGGCAAUGCAAUUCACCAUGAUCAGACCUAAUUCAAGAUUUAUGGAGUGGGAAUUUCAGUUAUUUCUGGAUUUUUCAGACUACUGAUUUUUGUUUUUUUUUUUUUUUUAUUUUGAAGGUAUUCUGACAACCUAUUUGUUUUUGUAUAUGUCUUCAAUAUAUGCAGUUUAUAGUGGGAUUCUUUAUUGAGACCUCUGAAAGCUUUUGUAUUGCAAUGUGAGGAGAAACUACAAAGUUCCAGGUAUCUCUUCAUUGAAAUGCAUGCUGUAAUUGUCAGUUUUCUUCCAUGAUGGCAAGGAAAAGCAGAUACAGCAACACCCAUUCUUGGAAAGAUUUUUUCACUCCCUCAUUAUUCCCUAUUAUGGUGUAUGCUGUGUAAUUUUUAACAGCAAUUUAAAAGUACAUUCCAUAGCUGUCAGAGCUAGUAGAAAUGAUUGGGCAGAGCCCCUUGGCUAAACUGCAGGCCAAAAAGAUUUACGUGCAUUGAGUUCUAUCCUGGAGCCCAUAGAGUGCUGACUCUGCACUAGCAGGAGGGUGGCACUGCUCAGUUCAGCUUAGUGGCAUCCAGAACUUCUGCUCCAGGGGAACUCUGACACUUGUACGUCAACCAAAUGAAGAUGUGAAAUUUUGCAGUUUCCCACUAAAAUAUUUUUGCAAAGCAUACAGUUCUGGAAAUAACAAGAAACUUUGAUCCAGGUACUUUGUUUUGUCAUUUGUAAUAUAUUUAUAUUGAUUAAUAUAAUAAGAAAGGCUUUGAUAUUUUUCCAAACAUCAAAAGAAAUUGAAAUUAUGCCUUUACACUUUUUAAGAUCAUGCUGCUUGUUAAUUUUCUUUGCUGAAAACAUGAAAGAGGUCAAGACAUUUGAUAAACAUUUUUAUUUUGUUGAAGCACCAAAAGCAUAAGGAUUUCAUCCUGAAAAGGAUGAAAAUUGAAAGAUUUGCUUAAAUAUCUCUGUGGUCAGAGAAGGAAAAUAAAGGCAGCAUUUUACCCAUUAUUUGGGAGGCUACUUUCCUAGCAGCCACAAAUGAUUUUCCUAACACAUACUCAUACAGGUAACUACUCAAACAUACAACUAAAAGUGACUGUUUAAAAAUCAAUGUGCAUAUCUUUCAUGGAUAUUAAAGGAAUUUCCAUCACCCAUGGAUUUGGGAUUGUUUGUAUGAUAAUAUUCCCACCAGUCAGAUGUGCACGUGCAUUGCUGGGCAAUUUUUAGAUGUGAGGUUGAAGCAGGUUUAGGCUCUGUACUAGUCCAUGGGAAAUACUCCUUUGGCUCAUCUUUGAGAGCAUGUCUUGAUGUAGAGUUAUUUGCUAAGAGUCCAAUAUGGAAAUUGUGAAAGAUGCUUCAGGCUAGGACAUCCUUUAUGUGUAAAGUGCAAAAGCUUUUAUUUAUUUAGCAUGAGACAGUGUUAAGAACAUUUAGCUCAGAACAAGAAGGGCGUGGAAAAGCCUGCAGGGAAUCCAUACAGUUGUGUGCUGCUCUGCAGAGAAAUAUCCCUGUCUUCCCUCCUUAAAGAGCUGAAGUGUACAUCCCAUUAUUUGGUUGGCCAGCUAGGAUUUUUGGUGUGGAACAGCUCAGCAGGAGAUCAGUGUGAGGCUCUGGCUUGGAUUAGCUCACAUAGAGCAGGUAUAGGAGUAUUCUCAUAAAAACUUGUCAGAACUAUAGCAAUUUGGAAAAUUUUUCUUUGAAAUAAAGCACAUGUACUAGAAAAGAAAAAAAAAUUAUGCGAGUCCAAGAUGAAGAGAAAAACUUUGCCAUUAAGGUAGAAAUUUCUUUUUAGUUGUUCCAAUUGAUACAGAGCAAGCUGUAAACACUGGUCUGCAGCAUUCAGACUGAGUAUCCUAGUCACCAGUUAUUUUGGGGGUUUUCCCUCUUUCUGUUUCUCUUUCUUUGAACAGAAGUUUGUUAGUUUUUCAAAAUUCAUACAACUAGAGAGCAUGUCCUGCCUUCUUUCCCACCUAAAGGCACUUGAUCUUCUCUCCCACCCAGCUGAAAUCUUGGUCCUAAUGGUUCUCUUUCUGAAAGGUGGUAAGUAAUUACAGGGAGUUUGUACUCAAUUAAAGAGCCAAUGACC